GGGAUUCCACUUCUCCUCGAU
rnacentral:siRNA from 1 species